CCUACGGGAGGCAGCAGUGAGGAAUAUUGGUCAAUGGGCGGAAGCCUGAACCAGCCAAGUCGCGUGAGGGAAUAAGGCCCUACGGGUCGUAAACCUCUUUUGCCGGGGAGCAAGGGCCGGGACGAGUCCCGGUCCGGAGAGUACCCGGAGAAAAAGCAACGGCAAACUCCGUGCCAGCAGCCGCGGUAAUCCGGAGGAUGCGAGCGUUAUCCGGAUUUAUUGGGUUUAAAGGGUGCGUAGGCGGGCUUUUAAGUCAGCGGUAAAAAUUCGGGGCUCAACCCCGUCCGGCCGUUGAAACUGGGGGCCUUGAGUGGGCGAGAGGAAGGCGGAAUGCGUGGUGUAGCGGUGAAAUGCAUAGAUAUCACGCAGAACCCCGAUUGCGAAGGCAGCCUUCCGGCGCCCUACUGACGCUGAGGCACGAAAGUGCGGGGAUCGAACAGGAUUAGAUACCCGAGUAGUC
rnacentral:rRNA from 1 species